rnacentral:rRNA from 1 species
GACGAACGCUGGCGGCGUGCUUAACACAUGCAAGUCGAACGGAAAGGCCCUGCUUUUGUGGGGUGCUCGAGUGGCGAACGGGUGAGUAACACGUGAGUAACCUGCCCUUGACUUUGGGAUAACUUCAGGAAACUGGGGCUAAUACCGGAUAGGAGCUCCUGCUGCAUGUUGGGGUUGGAAAGUUUCGGCGGUUGGGGAUGGACGGGAGGGUUAUCAGCUUGUUGGUGGGGUAGUGGCUUACCAAGGCUUUGCCGGGUAGCCCGCCCGAGAGGGUGAACGGGCACAUUGGGACUGCGAUAGGGACCAGACUGCUACGGGACGCAGCAGUGGGGAAUAUUGCACAAUGGGCGGAAGCCUGAUGCAGCAGCGCCGCGUGCGGGAUGACGGCCUUCGGGUUAUAAACCGCUUUCGCCGUUGACGAAGCGUGAGUGACGGUAAUGGGUAAAGAAGCACCGGCUAACUACGUG